CUUGGAUUAGUGUACACCUAUGGUAGACCGUGUGCCAGCGUACGGGUUGGCCGGUCUAGUGACUUGGUUUGUGGCCACAUUCCAAGUCAUGUAUGAGUAGAUAUGGUAGACGUCUAUGGGAAAAUGGCUGCCCUGCCGCGAGUUUUGAACGAUGAAAUAUUUUGGUGCCUCGGGCCUUUCUAAAGCUAAAACCCCGAUGGUUACUUGAAAAUGACAUGAUAAAUAUAAUAUUUUGAUAACUGUGUUUUCGGCAUAAGUCCACUGAGUAUUUAUAGUACUCAGCCCUGCAUGUGUUUUUCUUAUGCGCAGGUUGAACGGCGACGAGCUGGGUGGUGUUGAGCUUAAAUUGAAGUCAUGCUGGUUAUUAUUUGAAUUCCGAGUGCCGUCGUGUCUUCAUACAUGACACCACUAUUUCUCUUGAACGCUUCCGCUGAGAUGAUACUAUUUUUCACAAUUUUGCUUUGAACCUCAUUUACUCUUGGAUUAUUAAUUAUGAUAUCUAUUGACCUUGGAUUUAAUUGCUAAGACAUUACUCUGAUUUUUCCUCUGUUAUUUGAAUAUUAAAUAUUUUGGUCAACUCUUUAUUGAAACCCUAGAAUAUUUCCCUUUCUUAAAGUCAUAUUAGUCGCAACCACCCGCAUUUAUCAACCCUAGAAAGGGCGGUCGUGACACGUACUCUAGGCACUAAUUGCUCGACAUCUGUAACAGCAUGGACAACAUUUGGAGAUAUGUGACAUAUAUGGUGUGUGGUGCUAUUGUCGAGGCACAUGAGCCUGAGCGUGUUGUGUGACAAUUUGCUGGGACUCCUUUCAUUCCAGAAAUGCAUGAUUGUGGAUUCAAUGAUUCUCAUUUCAAUACAAACCGUUGAGCGAUAUCUAAGAAGAAUUGACAAUUAGAGAAUAUGAAUUAUAUUCAACAAUGGGGAGAGAAGGUUGGACACUAUGUCUACCAACUACUUGGAACCUCCCGGAAGUGAUUAGGAGCUGGUGGACAGAACACGGGCGUACAAGAAGUGGUAUAACAAGAUAACAUUACAUACAUCACUCGGUCGGGCAGUCGCCCAAAUGUGGUGAUGAACACUGGUGCAUCAUCAUCAACGAUAACUGAAGUUUGUUCAUAAUUGCCUUGUUGAAUGCGGCAAGAGUGGGCAUAUAGUCUUGCCUGCUACACAACGUACAUAUAUGGAUAUGUCCCGGGGUUUCGGUCCAAUAGCCCGUGGUUGUGGUCAGAAAGGUGUCCAAACUGACAGACAUGGUAAUUUUACGUCAUUUCAUGAUGUCCUAGGACAUGCCAAAGUCAUCACAUGACACAGAUGAAGAAAAUAAGAAUUGAGAUGACAACAUGGAUAUCCACGACCAAGACAUACCAGAGUCAUUACAUGACGCAGCUGAAGAAAAUAGGAAUUGGGAUGACGACAUGGAUAUCCAUGAUCAUAAUAAUUCAGAAAUGCAGAAUCAACUAGCACCAGAUCUAUCUGUUCAUAUGAUGCCUCCCUCCAGCUGAUGCUGAAGUAGAUGAUGGAAAUGAAAAUGUUGAUGCUACAAAGGAUAGUGCACACGUGGACCGCCCCACUAUACCAAUUAGAAGGUCUAAAUGUGUGAAUAAGGGAAAGAAGCCAAAUAAAUAUACACCAGGAUAGUGCAUGUGUAAACUGUAUUAUGUGAUUGUAUUGGAAUACUUGUCGAGUAUUGUGUUGGAACAUUUACCUUUAUUGUAUUGUUGGAUUUUGUAGGAGUUA